rnacentral:rRNA from 1 species
AGAGUUUGAUCCUGGCUCAGGAUGAACGCUAGCGGGAGGCCUAACACAUGCAAGCCGAGCGGUAUUGUUUCUUCGGAAACGAGAGAGCGGCGCACGGGUGCGGAACACGUGUGCAACCUGCCUUUAUCUGGGGGAUAGCCUUUCGAAAGGAAGAUUAAUACCCCAUAAUAUUUUGAAUGGCAUCAUUUAAAAUUGAAAACUCCGGUGGAUAGAGAUGGGCACGCGCAAGAUUAGAUAGUUGGUAGGGUAACGGCCUACCAAGUCAGUGAUCUUUAGGGGGCCUGAGAGGGUGAUCCCCCACACUGGUACUGAGACACGGACCAGACUCCUACGGGAGGCAGCAGUGAGGAAUAUUGGACAAUGGGUGAGAGCCUGAUCCAGCCAUCCCGCGUGAAGGACGACGGCCCUAUGGGUUGUAAACUUCUUUUGUACAGGAUAAACCUAUUUACGUGUAAAUAGCUGAAGGUACUGUACGAAUAAGCACCGGCUAACUCCGUGCCAGCAGCCGCGGUAAUACGGAGGGUGCAAGCGUUAUCCGGAUUUAUUGGGUUUAAAGGGUCCGUAGGCGGAUCCGUAAGUCAGUGGUGAAAUCUCAUAGCUUAACUAUGAAACUGCCAUUGAUACUGCGGGUCUUGAGUAAGGUAGAAGUAGCUGGAAUAAGUAGUGUAGCGGUGAAAUGCAUAGAUAUUACUUAGAACACCAAUUGCGAAGGCAGGUUACUAUGUCUUAACUGACGCUGAUGGACGAAAGCGUGGGGAGCGAACAGGAUUAGAUACCCUGGUAGUCCACGCCGUAACGAUGCUAACUCGUUUUUGGGCUUUCGGGUUCAGAGACUAAGCGAAAGUGAUAAGUUAGCCACCUGGGGAGUACGAACGCAAGUUUGAAACUCAAAGGAAUUGACGG